rnacentral:rRNA from 1 species
CCUACGGGAGGCAGCAGUGGGGGAUAUUGCACAAUGGGGGAAACCCUGAUGCAGCGACGCCGCGUGGGCGAAGAAGUAUUUCGGUAUGUAAAGCCCUAUCAGCAGGGAAGAAGAAAGGAGGGAACCGGAGUAAGAAGCACGGGCUAAAUACGGGCCAGAAGCCGCGGUAAUACGGAGGGGGCAGGCGUUAUCCGGAUUUACUGGGGGUAAAGGGAGGGAAGGCGGCACGGCAAGCAUGAUGGGCAAGGCCGCGGCCCAACCGGGGACCUGCAUUUGGAACUACCGGGCUGGAGUGCCGGAGAGGUAGGCGGAAUUCCUAGUGUAGCGGUGAAAUGCGUAGAUAUUAGGAGGAACACCAGUGGCGAAGGCGGCCUACUGGACGGUGACUGACGCUGAGGCUCGAACGCGUGGGGAGCAAACAGGAUUAGAUACCCUAGUAGUC